rnacentral:lncRNA from 10 species
CCCGAGCAAGACCAACAAUUGCUGAAUAAACACAAACCCCCUUGAGAAUCACGCCGACAGGUGCUAUCUCUUCACCUGGGGAUUGCAAAGGAAGUGAGAACAUCCCCGAGCAAGACCAAAAAUUGCUGAAUAAACACAAACCCCCUUGAGAAUCACGCCAAGAGGUGCUGCCUCUUCACCUGGGGAUUGCAAAGGUAUUACAGCACUGUACAGUUUACUAAACACAAGUCUUCACAUCAGUCCUCUUCUCUGCAGCCACAUGACUCAAGCAGGCACAGGACCCAUCAGGAACACCAGAGUCCUGAGCAGGAAGAAUGUCUCCUGUCGCAGCCUUGGGGGGAGUCAGGCAUGAUGUGCCCGAUGGUGCAGCAGGACACGAUGAUGUCAGAGCUGCCUGGGACAUAUUGAACUUCCUGAUUUUUUCUUCUUGUGAUGGAAUAAAUGAUUUUGGAUUAAGAUG